rnacentral:lncRNA from 10 species
CUGAUUUUGUGAUUCCGCUGCUUAGUCUUUCACUAAUGCAUCAUUGUCAAAGGUCAAAAAAAAAAAAAAAAUCAACCUUUGAGAAACUUCACUAACUUGGCUAAUUGGAAAAGUUUUCCCCACUUCUUGCAAGACGAACGCCAUCACCUGUGCAAGAAGAAAACAAUUAGAGAAAUGCAAAUCAAAACGACGAGAUAUCAUCAUAUCUCAAU